CCAGACUCCUACGGGAGGCAGCAGUGGGGAAUAUUGCACAAUGGGGGGAACCCUGAUGCAGCGACGCCGCGUGAGGGAAGAAGGUUUUCGGAUUGUAAACCUCUGUCCUCUGUGACGAUAAUGACGGUACCUGGGGAGGAAGCUCCGGCUAACUACGUGCCAGCAGCCGCGGUAAUACGUAGGGAGCGAGCGUUGUCCGGAAUUACUGGGUGUAAAGGGAGCGUAGGCGGGGAUGCAAGUUGGGUGUCAAAACUACCGGCUCAACUGGUAGUCGCACUCAAAACUGCAGCUCUUGAGUGAAGUAGAGGCAGGCGGAAUUCCUAGUGUAGCGGUGAAAUGCGUAGAUAUUAGGAGGAACACCAGUGGCGAAGGCGGCCUGCUGGGCUUUUACUGACGCUGAGGCUCGAAAGCGUGGGGAGCAAACAGGAUUAGAUACCCCGGUAUCC
rnacentral:rRNA from 1 species